rnacentral:rRNA from 1 species
AACGAACGCUGGCGGCAUGCCUAACACAUGCAAGUCGAACGAAGCCUUCGGGCUUAGUGGCGCACGGGUGCGUAACGCGUGGGAACCUGCCUUUCGGUUCGGAAUAACAGUUAGAAAUGACUGCUAAUACCGGAUGAUGUCUUCGGACCAAAGAUUUAUCGCCGAAAGAUGGGCCCGCGUAGGAUUAGCUAGUUGGUGGGGUAAAGGCUCACCAAGGCGACGAUCCUUAGCUGGUCUGAGAGGAUGAUCAGCCACACUGGGACUGAGACACGGCCCAGACUCCUACGGGAGGCAGCAGUGGGGAAUAUUGGACAAUGGGCGAAAGCCUGAUCCAGCAAUGCCGCGUGAGUGAUGAAGGCCUUAGGGUUGUAAAGCUCUUUUACCAGGGAUGAUAAUGACAGUACCUGGAGAAUAAGCUCCGGCUAACUCCGUGCCAGCCGCCGCCGUAA